rnacentral:rRNA from 1 species
UACGUAGGGGGCUAGCGUUGUCCGGAAUCAUUGGGCGUAAAGAGCGUGUAGGCGGCCCGGUAAGUCCGCUGUGAAAGUCGGGGGCUCAACCCUCGAAUGCCGGUGGAUACUGUCGGGCUAGAGUGCGGAAGAGGCGAGUGGAAUUCCUGGUGUAGCGGUGAAAUGCGCGGAUAUCAGGAGGAACACCGAUUGCGAAGGCAGCUCGCUGGGACGUAACUGACGCUGAGACGCGAAAGCGUGGGGAGCAAACAGG